rnacentral:rRNA from 1 species
UAAUGCAGCGGAUCCGCAUGGAUAUGUUGUUAAAGGUUUACCGCCUUGGGAUAGGCUUGCGUCUGAUUAGUUAGUUGGUGUGGUAACGGCACACCAAGGCUACGAUCAGUAACUGGUCUGAGAGGAUGAUCAGUCACACUGGAACUGAGACACGGUCCAGACUCCUACGGGAGGCAGCAGUGAGGAAUAUUGGGCAAUGCUCGAAAGAGUGACCCAGCAACGCCGCGUGGAGGAUGAAGGUAUUCUAUAUCGUAAACUCCUGUGAGAGCAGACGAAAGACAGAUUAUUAAUCUGGAUGACUGUAUGCUCAGAGGAAGCCCCGGCUAACUACGUG